rnacentral:lncRNA from 1 species
CGAGCCAGGAGAGACACCAGCCCAGUGAGCACAGGGACCAGGAAUCCAGGAGCAGGUUGUGGCUCACCUGGGUUGGAGAACCCCGCCAGAGUCCAUGGACAGUGGUGAGCCUCUGAGGAAUGAAGCCCUGGGCCUGGGAUGGGGUGGGAACAGGCCUCCUUGGCCAAGGCUGGCCUCUGCGGUGCUGCAGAGUGGGCCCGGGAAGGCUGCAUCUGCAACCAACUGGGUGCGGGCAGUCACCUGCAAAUGCUGGGAGCACUGCACAGCCUCCAGGGCAGGCCUCUUUCAACAAGAGUGGCCGCGGGAGAACCCAGGGGACAGAGACGAAGUCAUUGGCAGUUAGGAGAAGAGCCACAUCUGCAAGCCAUGAGGAGUUUGCAUGUUUCUCACAUGAAGGACCCUCCCCUGUGGUGAGUCAGAGCCAGAGAAACCACCACCUCCACCACCAACACCAUCACCUCCGCCCCCGCCUCCGCCUCCUGGAAACAUCUGCCCCACUGUGAUUGUUUGCUGCUCUGGGUGCCAAGGAGUGUGUGGGAUGAGAGGGAUAAAGGGCAAUCUGGAUACCUUCGGUGACCUCUGUCACCCAAACUACAGCCAGGUGCCAUGGAUGUGGUGUCAGCACAGGGACCAGGGGAGGUGCCUCAGCUUAGUCCUUGCACAGUCCCAAUGCGUACAGGCUCCCUGCUGCCCAGAGAUCUGCUUUCCACUCAACCAGGAAUGCCUUCCCCCACCACAGGCUCCCUACAGCCCAAAGAUGUGCCUGAGACACAGCCAGGAAAGCCUUCCCCCACCACAGGCUCCCUGCAGCCCAAGCAUGUGCCUGAGACAUGGCCUGGAGUACUUUUCCCAAGCACGAACUCUGUGCAAACCAAAGAGCUGCCUUCAGCCCAGCCGGAAGUGCCUCCCCAUCACCUGCUCCUCCAGGCGUCGCCACCUCCCUGCUAGGUGCUCCAGAAUCCCCUCCAGGAUGCUGCCGCUGCUACCCCCACUGUUCGGGCACACUGCACAACCCCCUUUGUCUCUCCCUCCCUCAGAGCCCAACUUCUAAGGCACCAAAUACCCAAGAUUAACAAGCCUUUGUUGCUGAACUGGAAAUAUACAUCAAAUCUGCAUUUGUCAGUCAAAGGAGUUGAAUUCUUGCUGAUCAACCAA